CAUGGUGUUCCUAAAAGUAGGUUGUAGGAAGUAUCCAUGUCUAUUACUUGAAAGGUGAUCGUAAACUCAACUGGUCCAAUAACCAAAGCAAGAUCUACCUCACCAAUUGUGUCUCGUUUUGCACCAUCAAAAGCCCGAACACAUACAUUAUUGGACCGAAUCCUAUCUGGGAUGAUUUUUAAUUUUUGCAAAGUAGAGAGAGGACAGAUAUCUACUCCUGAAC
rnacentral:lncRNA from 1 species